GUCAGUGUCGUCUAGUGGAUUAGGACGCGAGCUUCACACGCUCGAGAUCGAGGGUUCG
rnacentral:tRNA from 1 species